CCCAUUUCUAUUAAUCUAUGUAUUCCCACAUGGGCUUGGCUUACCAGAGAAUGCCUGGACCUGCUACUCCAUUGUGAUCUACAUGGCAACUGUUUCUGACAGGCUCUCCUGACUACCUUUCCCAAAAUUCUCCUCGUCUCCUAGUCCCACUUAUCUUCCUGCCUCAAUGGUCAGAGACCAAACAGUGUUUUAUCCAACAACCAGUAAGAGAAACAUACAUACAGAAGGACAUCCCCCAUCAGGUGACAGGUCUGGUUGGUUUGAUAGGCAGGACCUGGCAGGACUCUCAGAUGAAGGUAGCCUUGUUCCUGCUUGAAGGGGAGUUCAGCAGACACCAGAGACUUAUAAACAAGGAUGGAGUGGUCGCGUGGGUCUCUGGCAGUUCCCAUGUCUGAAGGUCCUCUUCAUGAAGGUGUGCUGGUGUGCCUAUAUAGUCCUUCCAUCCGGGAAGUUGAAACAGGAGGAAUACUACGAAUUCAAGACCAGCCUGUGCCAUAGAGUGAGACCCUGUUUCAAGACCAAUAAAUAACUUUAAAA